ensembl:snoRNA
UUGCACAGUUCAUAACCUGUCAGCUUGGCUGUAGCUGGUAGGUUUUGUUCCCCAGUGCCACAGAAUUUCCAACAACACAUGACUGACUAACCAAUGGUUUUCAGUUUCAGGUCUUGGAGACAGUG